rnacentral:rRNA from 1 species
AUGAAGACCAGCUCCUCGUCGCAGGCGCUCUUCCCGGCCGCCUCGUCGCUGUGCACCCCGUACCUCCUCCUCGUGCCCCUCGGCCUCCUCGCCGCGGUGGUCGUCAUCCCCAGCCUCGGCUCCUCCCACGUCCGCUCCGACGGCCUCGGCGUGCUCUGCCCCAGCCUCGGCACCGAUGGCUACUCCGUCGCGUCGGGAGCCGAGAAGGUCGUCUCCACGGCGGCGGCGGCGGCGCAGCCGGAGUUCCGGCUGCUCGUCGGGGUGCUGACCACGCCGAAGCGGCGCGAGCGGCGGGACAUCGUGCGGCUGGCGUACGCGCUGCAGCCGCCGGUGCCGGCGUACGCGCGGGUGGACGUGCGCUUCGUGUUCUGCGGCGUGGACGACCCGGUGGACCGGAUGCUGGUGGCGCUGGAGGCCGCGCGGCACGGCGACGUCCUCCUGCUCAACUGCACCGAGAACAUGAACGACGGCAAGACCCACCAGUAUUUCUCCUCCGUGCCGCGGGUGUUCGCGGGCGCGCCCUACGACUACGUGAUGAAGACCGACGACGACACGUACCUGCGCGUGGCCGCCAUGGCCGAGGAGCUCCGGCCCAAGCCCCGCGACGACGUCUACCUCGGCUACGGCUUCGCCGUCGGCGACGACCCCAUGCAGUUCAUGCACGGCAUGGGGUACGUCGUCUCGUGGGACGUCGCGACCUGGGUGUCCGCCAACGAGGAGAUCCUCCGGCACAACGACACCCACGGCCCCGAGGACCUCCUCUUCGGCAAGUGGCUCAACAUCGGGCGCCGGGGCAAGAACCGGUACAGCCUCAGGCCAAGGAUGUACGACCUCAACUGGGACAUGGACAACUUCCGGCCGGACACCGUCGCCGUGCACAUGAUCAAGGACAACCGCCGGUGGGCGGCUGCCUUCAGAUACUUCAACGUCACCGCCGGGAUCAGGCCGUCCAACCUGUACCACUUGCCCUGA